AUUGAACGCUGGCGGCAGGCUUAACACAUGCAAGUCGAGCGCCCCGCAAGGGGAGCGGCAGACGGGUGAGUAACGCGUGGGAAUCUACCCUUUUCUACGGAAUAACGCAGGGAAACUUGUGCUAAUACCGUAUAAGCCCUUCGGGGGAAAGAUUUAUCGGGAAAGGAUGAGCCCGCGUUGGAUUAGCUAGUUGGUGGGGUAAAGGCCUACCAAGGCGACGAUCCAUAGCUGGUCUGAGAGGAUGAUCAGCCACAUUGGGACUGAGACACGGCCCAAACUCCUACGGGAGGCAGCAGGGGGGAAUAUUGGACAAUGGGCGCAAGCCUGAUCCAGCCAUGCCGCGUGAGUGAUGAAGGCCCUAGGGUUGAAAAGCUCUUUCACCGGUGAAGAUAAUGACGGUAACCGGAGAAGAAGCCCCGGCUAACUUCGUGCCAGCCGCCGCCGUAAAAC
rnacentral:rRNA from 1 species